AAUAGACAUAGGUGUAUGUAGUAGGGGAGAAAAAAUAAAAACGGUUUUAAAAUAAAGCUUAUACGAUUACGUAAUUAUUAAAAAAACACACACACACAGGCACAAAAAAACAAAUUCACUUAAAAUCCCCGGAGAAAUUGCUGGUUCAUGAUAAAAAAAAAUAAAAAAAAUCCACUCUGUAUGGAAACAGUACGGAUACGGUAUUAUUGUUUGCGCGCUCUCCGCCGCACUAUCGAAACUCUAACAGUUGUGUAUACGGGCGAAUGUAAGUUCCUACACGAGACUUAGCGGAUGAAAGAAAAAUGUGCGUAUGUCAGUUCCUACACGAAUAUAAAAAUGAGCUGUGUAAGUCUGUUCCUGCAUGGUAAAAAAAAGCUGCGUAUGUUCGUUUCUGCAUGGCGGAAAAAUUAUAUAAUAUGUAAGUUUUUAAACGGUAAAAAAAAAAAAAAGUUCAAAUGUCAGUAAGUGACGUAUACUUACGCUACACACUAUG